CUCUCUGGCUGCAAUGCGCGCUCCCGACGCAGGGGGAACAGAUUUCCACAGAGGAACAGAAUCACAAGAUCUCUACAGCAGAACACGAAGAAAAUCAACCACGGAUCUUAGGACGUUGCUGACCAAAUGAAAUCAUAAAGUGAAUGUCUGACGAUGAUGAACAUUCAACUGAAAACUAACUUCAUCGCGAUGUAAGACUUCAGAAGAACUGGGUGGAGAAACACAGAAGACUGAAAAUAUGAACUUUGAUGAGAGGAGUUCUGUUCUGUAGUUCAGGGAUUAGUUUGAAACAAAGAUAUGAAAACUAGUGUUGCUACUGGUUAGAGUUUAAUUAAAACUGUGAAACGAAAAUGUAACAAACAAAUCGCUUUUACCACAUCAGUAAAACAGAUUUAGACAUGAAACCUGUAACUGUUUAUUUGCUUAAGUUAAUAUGUUGCUUUUGUUGUUUAUUGCUGAGAGAUAUCAAGGUUGAGCGCGUGAACAAGGAGACUAUGGCAAGCCGUUUGAGGAUAAAUUCGGUUUCGUCUGACUUUCCGUAAUUACAUUGCAGCAUUGGCGUAGGUUUGGGUGUGGACGGUCGUGACAUGUCACGACCAAUAUUCAAGGGAUAUAAAAUAGUCCCGACCAAUUUUUGCCAUAUUAAUUAAAAAAAAAAAAAAACAUAUGUAUUUUUUAACCAAAACAAAAUAAAUAAACGAAAAUCUACAUUGAUUAGUUUAAUAUUUCAAUAUACUACGCAGUGGUAGCAUUCAUUUUAAAAUUCGCUGUUAUGAACUAUGACGACCCGCUAUUGGCUCACAGAACGUGGAUCUACGUUCUUUGAUUGGCUGCAACAGGCGGCGGCCAGCUGGUCACACGCGGAACGGAAGCUUGGUCCAUGGUGCUGAAAGUGAACGCGUCUCCUUCUGAGUUUGACAUUUAUUAUGAGUCUCCAUGUCGCCACCAAAAAAGAAAAGGACGACAGACAUUAGAAGUUAUUUCGCUACCUCGGCUGUAAGUACAGUGAGGGGACCCAUAAGUUAGA